rnacentral:rRNA from 1 species
UCAAAAACAUGUCCUUUUGUAGAUAAUUUAAGGUCUAGCCUGCCCACUGAUAUUUUAAAUGGCCGUGGUAUUUUGACCGUGCUAAGGUAGCAUAAUCAUUAGUUUUUUAAUUAAAAACUGGAAUGAAAGGUUGGAUGAGAAAAUAGCUGUCUCUAUUAAAUUUAAUUAGAAUUUUAUUUUUAAGUUAAAAAGCUUAAUUGUUAUUAAAAGACGAGAAGACCCUAUAGAGUUUAAUUAUUUAAUAAAAAUUAUAUUUUAGUAUUAAUUUAUUUAUUUUAUUGAAUAAUUUAAUUGGGGUGAUUGAAAAAUUUAAUUAACUUUUUUUAUUUAAAAACAUUAAUUUAUGAAUAAAUGAUCCGAUAUUUUUGAUUAUAAGAUAAAAUUACCUUAGGGAUAACAGCGUAAUUUUUUUAGAAAGUUCAUAUUAAAAAAAAAGAUUGCGACCUCGAUGUUGGAUUAAAAUAAAUUUUUGGUGUAGAAGCUAAAAUAUUAGGUCUGUUCGACCUUUAAAAUUUUACAUGAUCUGAG